CGCAAAAUGCGGUGACCUAAAAUGUUUCUGUCGAUGACUAGCUUCCUCUAAUGCAUUCACUUCUGAUAACCAACUCUAUUGUUUCAUUACUACUGCCCAUGGUAUGCAUGGCAUGCAUUAGAUCCUCUAAAAAUGUAAGUUUUUUCUAUAAAAAAAAAAAAAUGUCAUUGUUUUAUUUUUGUUUCAGCAUGGCCCGGCAGGUGCAUCAGCGUGGCGUGCUGCACAUGCCAUGCCAUCCACCAUCCGGCAC
rnacentral:lncRNA from 1 species